UACGAAGGGGGCUAGCGUUGCUCGGAAUCACUGGGCGUAAAGGGUGCGUAGGCGGGUCUUUUAAGUCAGGGGUGAAAUCCUGGAGCUCAACUCCAGAACUGCCUUUGAUACUGAGGAUCUUGAGUUCGGGAGAGGUGAGUGGAACUGCGAGUGUAGAGGUGAAAUUCGUAGAUAUUCGCAAGAACACCAGUGGCGAAGGCGGCUCACUGGCCCGAUACUGACGCUGAGGCGCGAAGGCAUGGGGAGCAAACGGG
rnacentral:rRNA from 1 species